AUUGAACGCUGGCGGCAGGCCUAACACAUGCAAGUCGAGCGGGGUUUUCGGACCUAGCGGCGGACGGGUGAGUAAUGCGUAGGAAGCUGCCCGAUAGAGGGGGAUACCAGUUGGAAACGACUGUUAAUACCGCAUAAUGUCUACGGACCAAAGUGUGGGACCUUCGGGCCACAUGCUAUCGGAUGCGCCUACGUGGGAUUAGCUAGUUGGUGAGGUAAUGGCUCACCAAGGCGACGAUCUCUAGCUGGUUUGAGAGGAUGAUCAGCCACACUGGAACUGAGACACGGUCCAGACUCCUACGGGAGGCAGCAGUGGGGAAUAUUGGACAAUGGGCGCAAGCCUGAUCCAGCCAUGCCGCGUGUGUGAAGAAGGCCUUCGGGUUGUAAAGCACUUUCAGCGAGGAGGAAGGGUGGUGUGUUAAUAGCACACCAUUUUGACGUUACUCGCAGAAGAAGCACCGGCUAACUCUGUGCCAGCCGCCGCAGAAA
rnacentral:rRNA from 1 species